UACGUAGGGGGCUAGCGUUGUCCGGAAUCAUUGGGCGUAAAGCGCGUGUAGGCGGCCCGGUAAGUCCGCUGUGAAAGUCGGGGGCUCAACCCUCGGAUGCCGGUGGAGUACUGUCGGGCUAGAGUGCGGAAGAGGCGAGUGGAAUUCCUGGUGUAGCGGUGAAAUGCGCAGAUAUCAGGAGGAACACCAAUUGCGAAGGCAGCUCGCUGGGACGUGACUGACGCUGAGACGCGAAAGCGUGGGGAGCAAACAGG
rnacentral:rRNA from 1 species